CUUAUGGUUAAAUUUCAUAGAGAUCCAUGAACUUAAACUAAAGUUAGAGUGCCAAAACCAAUGUGUCUUCGGACGACGACGACGACGCCAACGUCAUACCAAUAUACGACCACAAAAAUUUUUUGCGGUCGUAUAAAAACUGCAUUUUACCCCUAUGUUCUAUUUUUAACAAAGUCGGACAUGAUGGUUGGAAGGCGGGGUCAUCGGACACAUUUUUUAAACUAGAUACCCUAAUAAUGAUUAUGGCCAAGUAUGGUUAAAUUUGUCUCAGUAGUUUCAGAGAAGAAGAUUUUUGUAAAAGUUGACUAGUAAAGGCAAUAACUCCUAAAGGGGUCGACUGACAAUUUUGGUCAUGACAACUUAUUUGUAGAUCUUACUUUGCUGAACAUUAUUGCUGUUUACAGUUUAUCUCUAUAAUAAUAUUCAAGAUAAUAACCACAAGAGUGCACACGCUGAAAUGUCUCGCCUUCUUUACUAAUCAUUGAUAUUAUGUUGAUAGUCCUAAAUAUAAAGCUUCAUUACAACUGUCACAUAAACUUAACAUUAACCAAGUAAACUAAACAUUGACCAAUGAACCAUGAAAAUGAGGUCAAGGUCAGAUGAACCAUGCUAGGCAGGCAUGUACAGCUAACAAUUCUUCCAUACAACAAAUAGAGUUGACCUAUUGCUUAUAGUUUAAGAAAAACAGACCAAAACACAAAAACUUAACACUGAGCAAUGAACCUUGAAAAUGAGGUCAAGGUCAAUUAAAACCUGCGUGACUGCCAAAUAGAUCAUAAAAUAUUUCCAUACACCAAAUAUAGUUGAACUAUUGCAUAUAGUAUAAGAAAAACAGACCAAAACACAAAAACUUAACUAUAACCACUGAACCAUGAAAAUGAGGUCAAGGUCAGAUGACACCUACCAGCUAGACAUGUACACCUUACAAUCAUUCCAUACGCCAAAUAUAGUAGACCUAUUGCAUACAGUAUAAGAAAAACAGACCAAAACACAAAAACUUAACUAUAACCACUGAACCAUGAAAAUGAGGUCAAGGUCAGAUGACACCUGCCAGUUGGACAUGUACACCUUACAGUCCUUCCAUACACCGAAUAUACUAGACCUAUUGCUUAUAGUAUCUGAGAUAUGGACUUGACCACUAAAACUUAACCUUGUUCACUGAUCCAUGAAAUGAAGUCGAGGUCAAGUGAAAACUGUCUGACGUACAUGAGGACCUUGCAAGGUACGCACAUACCAAAUAUAGUUAUCCUACUACUUAUAAUAAGAGAGAAUUUAACAUUACAAAUAAAAUGCUCCGCUGGGGCGCAGCUUGAUACGACCGCAGAGGUCGAACCCUGAACAGUUGGGGCAAGUAUGGACACAACAUUCAAGCUUGAUACAGCACUGAAUUUGGAUUGUAAUUAAAUA